GGGGUGGUUGGUGGGGGUGGAGGGUACCACGCUGUGUUCUGCUGUGUUUUCACUUUGCUGAUGUGUACUGUAAUUUAUUUACCAUUUGUAUGGGUGCGUGUGUUGUACUCCUGUCUUACUCCUGUCUAGGGUUGCAAAAUUCCGGGAAUAUUCAAGGAUGGAAAUUUUCCAUGGGAAUUAACGGGAAUUUAUGGGAAUUAACAUGAAAUAACGGGAAUAAAAUGGAAAUAUAGCCCUAUUUGCUCAGGCUGCAUUUACCAUGUCAUAUGCAGAUAGAAACAAACGUUUUACCAUACCAUAAGCAGACAUAAUUGCAAACAUUCCCUAAUGACCCCCCUCAAAAAAAAAGACUUUUCUCUUAACACCUAAAAAAACCUCCAAAAACAGUCUUCCGAGAAUUCUAUUUACAUAGAUAGUUGAAGCACAAGUUUUUAGAAAAAGUCAAGGAAUGACAGACAUGUGGAAUAAACAUUAAUAAAAUACAUCCCAUUUUACUGUGCAAGGGGUCAGUUGACCCGGCGGUUCUAGUGAUGAGCAGCAUACCGUGAGUAGUGCCAGGUGACGUCGGCAGCACACUACGUGACCAAAGACGGGAAGUUUUGAAGAGAGGCUAACUGCUUGUCCAAAAUGACCAAUAUUUAUACGACGUCUCCAUGCCGCUUCACAGCGAUAAAAAUAUCCUACUUAUCAGACGGCAUUAAUUUAGUCAACGAAAAAUAUACCUUACGACCCCUUUUUCCAUGAUGAAAACAAAACAUAAUGAAAUAACAAUUCAGAAUAUGCCUUAGGGUUUAAAUUGAACAACUCAUUUAUAAAAUAAAUGUUUUGCAAUAAAGAAUGAAUGCAAAUAGAUGAAUCAAAACUCAUCAAUUAGCAUACUCAAUCAAGCAGCAUCACAUGGUAACAGCUAGCUAGCAGAAGGUGUUAACAAGGUAUAAACUGUGUACUUUGCAUUAGGCUACUAUCUGCCGGUUAACUGAAAUAUAAAAAAUAUAAAAUAUAUUCACUCCAUUAAUAUAAUCAAAACUUACCUGAAAGCAUGUAGUCCUUUGGCUCAGACAGUGCAGUAGUGUUGGCAGUAAUGUGGGCUGCACACUUGAUGGGAGAAUGCACUGUGCAUGCAGAGGGUUGUAAUUUUACUGAAUUCCUAUUUAAAGGUGCAGUGUGUAGAAUGUUGUGGCAUCUAGCGGUGAGGUUGCAGAUUGCAACCAACUGAAUACCCCCCUCACCUCCCCUCACCCCUCCCUUUCCAACGACGUAGGAGAAGCUACGGAGGCCUGUAAGUUCCAAAAAUUAUGUCAUCAUCUACGACAGCAUCGAGUAGCCAAGUGUCAAGUGAUGAGGUUCCUUGAUAGAUUUAUAAAUUGUAUUUAGUUAUUUAGUCUGUAAAACUAUAGGUCAUAGCUUACAAGUAAGAUACAUUUUAUUGCUAAAGUUAGCUAACGUUAGCUGCUUUGCAUGGUAAAUCAUAGAAAGACAUGGUGCGUCACAAAAACUAUUACACUACUAACGCUUACAUUACAGUGUGAAAUAUCCUCAUUAUAAAAUACCACUAACCUAUGUAAAGACACUCAAUUUCAAAAAUAACGUAUAUAACCAAAAUAUUUUGAGCAGUAAUACUUACAUAGCAAUGAUGAAAUCUUAUCUGUUUUCAAUAGAUAGAGACAGAUUAAAUCAAUGAUAUAUUUCUAUCCGCUUCUGUCUUACACCAGAAAACGAUGUCAGCUAGGUCUAUCAGCAAACAUAUGACUUAGCUAUGCCCAAGAAGUCCUCAAUAAUAAUAGUAUUUUCCAAGAAAUUACGAAAAAUUGUUAACAACUUUUCAUUAGGUGCAGCGUAUUUUACUGCUACCACAGAGUGAAUACGUAAGUGAAUGCGAUGAUAACAAAACUUUCCAUUACGCUGACCAAUGAAACGCUAGACAUGUUAUCCAUCGUUAUAAAGCUUAUACUCUCUCCUGCUGAAUAAAUGGAUUGUCAAUCAAGCCAGACUGUACUAAAAAGGACAACAACGCCGUAAACAACACGUGUGGUAUUACACACAGCUAUUUUGGAAGGUACCCAGGCAUCACAAAUGCGCCCUCUCUAGUGCCGUUUGUCCGUUCUGGGCUACUGUAGAAACAUGGCGGUGCAACAUGGCGGCCUCUGUGGAAGAGGACCCGCUCCCUAUGUAGAUAUAAAGGGCUCAUUCAAGGUAACGAAAACACAACAAUUCUUAUUUUCUUGGGAUUAUACACUAAUUAAAACAUACUUUUGAAUAUUACAUUCAAUUUCUGCCAGGUCCGUUCCGCUAGAUGCCACUAAAUUCUACACACUGCACCUUUAAAGGGAUUCUGGCAAAUUAUCAGUACAUGUGAUGGAAGAGUGCGCUGCUGAAUGCAGUGCAUGGUUACAAUUCAAUUAAAUGGGAAUCCUUUUAACCAAAACAUGCCAUAAGACCUAGUGUUGCUUUUUAUGUGCAUUCCCCCCCUAAAUAAGUUCACUAUUAAAAGGUAAGAUUUUUAUAUUGAAAUUGUGCAAAAUUCCCGAGCUUAACUUCCCUUCCAAAAUUUCC